UACAGAGGGUGCAAGCGUUGUUCGGAAUUAUUGGGCGUAAAGCGCGUGUAGGCGGCUUGGCAAGUCGGGUGUGAAAUCCCUCAGCUCAACUGAGGAAGUGCGCCCGAAACUGCUUGGCUUGAGUACCGGAGAGGAUGGUGGAAUUCCCGAAGUAGAGGUGAAAUUCGUAGAUAUCGGGAGGAACACCAGUGGCGAAGGCGGUUGCCUGGAGCUUUGCUGACGCUGAUGCGCGAAAGCGUGGGGAGCGAUCCGG
rnacentral:rRNA from 1 species